UGUCGAUUCUUCGUUGGUCGAAAGAGGGAGGGAGGGAGAAGGAGAGAGAGAGAGAGAGAGUGGUGCAGAUGAGGCCACGAUCAAUCUGCGAUAGGGUGGCGGAGGAGUAUUACGAGCCUGACGGUUGUUACUGCGAGAAUCGGUGCUUCUGACAGCCGGACGGCAGGAGGGACAGACAGACGGUAGUGUGCCACAGCAGCCGCAGUGCUUGCGAAUACUCGAUGGAUGAGUUCCAUCCAUUCAUUGAGGCCCUUCUACCAUUCGUGAAGUCUUUCUCGUACACGUGGUUCAACCUACAAGCCGCCAAGAGGCGUUACUACAAGAAGCACGAAAAACGGAUGAGUCUCGAAGAGGAACGUCAGUGUAAGGAGGAGCUUCAG